rnacentral:rRNA from 1 species
AUUGAACGCUGGCGGCAGGCCUAACACAUGCAAGUCGAGCGGCAGCGGAAAGUAGCUUGCUACUUUGCCGGCGAGCGGCGGACGGGUGAGUAAUGUCUGGGGAUCUGCCUGAUGGAGGGGGAUAACUACUGGAAACGGUAGCUAAUACCGCAUGACCUCGAAAGAGCAAAGUGGGGGACCUUCGGGCCUCACGCCAUCGGAUGAACCCAGAUGGGAUUAGCUAGUAGGUGGGGUAAUGGCUCACCUAGGCGACGAUCCCUAGCUGGUCUGAGAGGAUGACCAGCCACACUGGAACUGAGACACGGUCCAGACUCCUACGGGAGGCAGCAGUGGGGAAUAUUGCACAAUGGGCGCAAGCCUGAUGCAGCCAUGCCGCGUGUGUGAAGAAGGCCUUCGGGUUGUAAAGCACUUUCAGCGAGGAGGAAGGCAUUGUGGUUAAUAACCGCAGUGAUUGACGUUACUCACAGAAGAAGCACCGGCUAACUCCGUGCCAGCAGCCGCGGUAAUACGGAGGGUGCAAGCGUUAAUCGGAAUUACUGGGCGUAAAGCGCACGCAGGCGGUUUGUUAAGUCAGAUGUGAAAUCCCCGCGCUUAACGUGGGAACUGCAUUUGAAACUGGCAAGCUAGAGUCUUGUAGAGGGGGGUAGAAUUCCAGGUGUAGCGGUGAAAUGCGUAGAGAUCUGGAGGAAUACCGGUGGCGAAGGCGGCCCCCUGGACAAAGACUGACGCUCAGGUGCGAAAGCGUGGGGAGCAAACAGG